rnacentral:misc_RNA from 1 species
AAUUAUCAACCUUGAGGGCUUUUUUGCUUUUCAAAGGCUUGGAUUUGAGGGCUUGCUGGCUUCCUUCAGUGGAUUGGUCUGCUCCCUUUAAAUGUAUUAGUGGGAUCUCUUGUGGACCGUCACUUGGUGUGAUAAUUAUCUACGCCGUUUGACUUUGAAGCAAAUCUUAUGGGAACCUGCUUAUAACCGUCUCUUCAUGGGACAACGUUCAUCUUAAU